rnacentral:rRNA from 1 species
AGACGGGACCCCGCACAAGCGGUGGAUCACGUUGUUUAAUUCGAUGAUACGCGAAGAACCUUUACCCAGGUCUUGACAUCCCCUGCAAAGCUAUGGAGACAUAGUGGAGGUUAUCAGGGAGACAGGUGGUGCAUGGUUGUCGUCAGCUCGUGUCGUGAGAUGUUGGGUUAAGUCCCGCAACGAGCGCAACCCUUAUUGCUAGUUACCAUCAUUGAGUUGGGGACUCUAGCGAGACUGCCAGUGAUAAACUGGAGAAGGUGGGGAUGACGUCAAAUCAUCAUGCCCCUUAUGACCUGGGCUACAAACGUGAUACAAUGGCUGAAACAAAGGGCAGCGAAGCAGUGAUGUGGAGCGAAACCCAAAAAAGACAGUCUCAGUUCGGAUUGAAGUCUGCAACUCGACUUCAUGAAGUCGGAAUCGCUAGUAAUCGCGGAUCAGAACGCCGCGGUGAAUACGUUCUCGGGGUUU